rnacentral:rRNA from 1 species
GAUGAACGCUGGCGGCGUGCCUAAUACAUGCAAGUCGAGCGAACGGACGAGAAGCUUGCUUCUCUGAUGUUAGCGGCGGACGGGUGGGUAACGCGUGGAUAACCUACCUAUAAUACUGGGAUAACUUCGGGAAACCGGAGCUAAUACCAGAUAAUAUUUUGAACCGCAUGGUUCAAAAGUAAAAGACGGUCUUGCUGUCACUUAUAGAUGGAUCCGCGCUGCAUUAGCUAGUUGGUAAGGUAACGGCUUACCAAGGCAACGAUGCAUAGCCGACCUGAGAGGGUGAUCGGCCACACUGGAACUGAGACACGGUCCAGACUCCUACGGGAGGCAGCAGUAGGGAAUCUUCCGCAAUGGGCGCAAGCCUGACGGAGCAACGCCGCGUGAGUGAUGAAGGUCUUCGGAUCGUAAAACUCUGUUAUUAGGGAAGAACAUAUGUGUAAGUAACUGUGCACAUCCUGACGGUACCUAAUCAGAAAGCCACGGCUAACUACGUG